AGAUCUGAAAACAUUACUGACCACUCUAUUAUCAAAAGUCUGGAUUGGAGAGACGCCCAGCAGUAACAUGAUAAAUGUAUGCAGAGAAAACAUAAUGAAUGGUGCCAUCCAAACCUUUGCAAGGAGGAGUUUUAAUCCAGAAGCCAAAUUAAGUAUUGUAUUUAUGGAUGACUUCAUGCAAGCAGAGGGUUCAGUGGAUGACGGGGGCCUUACACGGGAGUUUUUCCGACUGCUUAUGAUUGAACUAAAAGACAGCAGCCUGUUUACAGGGCCACAGAACAGGAAGAACCUGUCCCUGGACAGCCAUGCAUUACAAAAAAGUCUCUACAGAACAUUUGGAGUGAUGAUGGCUGUGGCACUGGUACAUGGAGGUGUGUUGCCUUCUUUUUUUUCCAAGAGGCUCUACCAAAACCUCUGCUCAACACCUACAUUGCCACCCACUCUGGAAGAGGUAGCAGACCAGGAUUUGCAGUUGAAACUCAAAAAGAUCAGUGAGGCAGUUGAUAUUGCAUCGGCUUGAGAUGCUGUUGAGGAAGCUGCCGAGAGCCUGUCUUUAUUGGGAUCACUGAGGCCUAUCACCACCAUGGAGGGAUGUGACCAGUUGGUUCAGGCUGCCACAAGUUUCUACG